rnacentral:lncRNA from 1 species
UUUUUAUUUUUUAUAACGUAAAAUACAUUAUUUAAAUACAAUUACAUUCACACAGAUUAUAUUAUCUUUGGAUCUUAAGAAACAGAUUAAGUGACUCCCUCUGGAGAAGUGGAAUGGAAAAUAUGCUGAGACAAGUAGGAAAUUUAUUCUAUACUUUAUCCCAUUUUGUAUGGCUUUCAUCUUUACUAUUUAGGAUUAUCUAUUACAUUUCAAUUUUUCUUUAAAAAUUAGCAUUAUAUUAAAAUUGUGUAUAUUAUGCAACUAAAGUUUUUAAAGAAGAAAUCCUUAUAUACCAUUAAAUAUUUUAUAUAGCAUAAUAAAAAGAAUAACUUAACUGGUAAGAAUAACAAAAAUAAUACACCCUCUGAAAAUAAGUAAAAUAUAAAAUGCAUAAAUUGGUUAAAAAACAGUGUAACUAUAUAAAUAUGUUCUCACAAUUUGUUACAUCUUAUUGAUUCUUCAAUAUAGGCAUUACACCAUUCUAGGUGAUGUGAUAAACAAGACAUUAAGACCUUACAUUAUAUCAUGGAGAGAAAUGGUUAUUAAUAAUAUAAUUGUAGAAGUAUAUUAUUUAAUUGUACAGUUGUAUUAUUUAAUUAUAAUUAUCAUAAAUUCUUUGAUGGAGAGGAAAUCAGAAUCAGUUCUAAGAAGACUUCAGCAUUCCAAGAAUGAUGUCAAAUGACCCACUUCAUGAUGGGUUAUGUGCUUAUUUACUAUGAGAUAUAUUUCUUCUUCAGAGAUUCCUUGAUUGUGUAUCAAUUGUAGAUUUUUGGUUUGCAGUUAUUCUGAAGUUUUGAUAUGUCUGUAUGUAUAUGAGAUUGUUUUAAAUUGUUCUCUUAAUUGCAAGUUCAUCUCCAGUGUCCUGCAUUUGUACCCACCUCUUCUCAUUAUUUCUGAUUUGGGUGGUAUAAUUANCGAAUGAUUUCAUAUCUUUACUAGAUAUAUAUCUUUACUGGUGGGUCUUGUCAUUUGUGGAAAUUUUGUUUCCUGUUGCUGUCUAUUCUUUUCUGCCUAUAGAAGUUCCUUUAGUAUUUGUUGUAAGGCUGGUUUACUGUUGCUGAAUUCUCUCAACUUUGGCUUAUUUGUGAAGGUUUUGAUUUCUCCUUCAAAUCUGAAUGAGAGCCUUGUGGGUAGAGUAAUCUUGGUUGGAGGUUUUUUCCUUUCAUAAUGUUAAGUAUAUCAUGCCACUCCCUUCUGGCCUGCAGAGUAUCUGUUGAAAAAGCAGCCGAUAACCUUAUUGGGGUUCCCUUGUAUGUUGCUUGUUUCUUUUCCCUAGCUGCUUUCAAGAUUUUCUCUUUGUCUUUAAUUUUGGUCAGUUUGAUUAAUAUGCAUCUCAGUGUAUUCCUCCUUGGGUUUCUUUUAUAUUUUACUCAUUGUGCUUCCUGGAUUUGAGUGAGUGGUUCCUUUCCCAUGUUAGGGACGUUUUUGGCAAUUAUCUCUUGGAAUAUUUUUUCUGUCCCCUUCUCCCUCUCUUCUCCUUCUGGCACCCCUAUAAUAUGGAUGUUGGUGCGUUUAAUGUUGUCCCAGAAUUCUCUGAGACUCACUUCAUUUAUUUUCAAUCUUUUUUCUAUUUUCUGUUCUACAUCUGUAAUUUCUACUAAUCUGUCCUCCACCUCACUUAUUCGAUCUUCUGCCUCCUGUAUUCUUCCCUUAGCUGCUUCUGGUGAAUUUUUUAUUUCAGUUAUUGUAUUUUGCAUCUCUUCUGGUUUAAGUUUUAUAUCUUGUAUCUCUUUGCACAGUGUGUCCUGUAAGUUAUCCAUCUUUGCCUCCAGACUAUUUCCAAUGACUUGCAUCACCUUCAGCAUCAGCAAUCUAAAGUCUUUUUCCUGAAGGCUGAGAAUCUCCUCAUUGCUUAGCUGAUUUUCUGGGGUUUUUCCUUUCUCCCUCAUCUGAGUUAUAGUUCUCCGUCUUUUCAUUUUUAUAGGUUUUGGGUGUGGUGACGUUUUUACAGAUAAUAGAGUUGUGGCCUCUCUUACUUCUGAUGUCUGCCCCCCUUGUGGCUGAAGUCAGUAUUGGGGCUUUCUGUAGGCUUCCUGAUGGGAGGGUCUGAUGCCUGCCCCCCUGGUAGGUGGAGCAGAUUCUAAUCCCUCUGAUGGGUGGGGCUUAGUCUCUGGAUGGGAUUAGAGGCAGCUGUGUGCCUGAGGGGUCUUUAGGUAGCCUGUUUACUGAGAGGCAGCCUAUGAUUCCACCUGGAUUGUUGUUUUCCCUGGGGCUUCUCAGAGGCUGACUGAUGGGUGGGUCCAGAUUUUCCCAAAAUGGCCACCUCCAGAGAAAGGCAUGGUUGGGAAUAUUCCCAAGAAAUUUGGUUUCAAUACCCUUUCCUCACAACAAGCCAUAUUCACCCUGUCUUCCCAUGAUGUCCUCCAAGAACUUCAGUCAGGUUUGACCCAUUUACCUAUGGAGAUUUUUCUUUGCCCUGGAACCCAUGCACAGGAAUGUCUAUGUGCAGCUUUUAAGAAUUGGGUCUCCAUUUCCCCCCGGUCCUGUGGAGCUCCUGCACACAAGCCCCACUGGCCUUCAAUGCCAGAUGCUCCAGGGGCUCUUUCUCACCGUGCCUGAUCCCCACACAUGAGAGUUUGAGGUGUGGCUCAGAAUCCUCACUCCUGUAGGUGAGUCUCUCUGAAACAGUUUCCAGUCUGUGGAGCUUCCCACCUGGGAGGUAUGGAAUUGUUUAUAUCAGGAAAUCACCUCUCCUACCUCUUGAUGUGUCCUCCUGUUUUUCUUAUGUAAUAAAAUCUCUUUUUUAAGGUGUGAGAUCCAUUUGGGUGAAGAAUGCAUAGUCCUUAGUUGUGAAUUUUGUUCUUUUUAGGAGAGAAGUUGAGUUCCAGUCCUUCUAUUCCACCAUAUUAUUCCCAUCUCAGGGCUGGUAUGCUUUCAUGGAUUAUACUUGUAUGUGCAUGGAAGAAUGUUCCAGAUACUUGCAUUGUACCACUUGUGACACAGCUCUGAAGCGUUGAUUGCCCCAGAUUGCUCUGUGCUGCUUUUCAUGCCUUGUGAAAAGAAGGCAUUUUCAUGCCAAAUCAGACUUCUACACUACGAAAACACAUUUGGAGUGGGUUUCAAGCUAGGGAAACCUAUGGCACAGAAACAGUGCACUGGGAGUUUUGGGUAGCCCCUUGGCUCAAUCCCCUAUGACUGGGAGACACCUAAUUAGAAAAAAGGCAUGGGUGGCUUACCUGAGAAAAUCAGAAUUGUGGCUGGUCUGCAUUCACUGAGUAGACUUUGAUUGACUGGAAGAAGCUCCUAGAUGCUUGUUUAGUGCAGUUUGAGACACUGCUCUCAAGCCUUGAUCCCCCUAGCUUGCUCUGGGCUACUUUGCCUGGCUUGUGAAAAGAACACAUUUUCAGGCAUAAUCAGACUUCUCCUCUCAGAAGAACAUGUUUGGAGUGGGUUUCAAGCUAGGGAAACCAUCUAUACUGAAGCAGUGCACAGGGAGCUUUGGACAGACCCUUGGCUCUCUUGCCCUAGGUCUGGGAGAUGCCUAGUUGGGAAAAAUGCAAGGGUGGCUUCCAUGUGCAAAGAGGAAUUGGGGUGGUCUUAGGUCACUGAGUAUUCUCCUCUCAGGACAACAUCUUUUGUGUCACUUUCAAGCUAGGGAAUCCUGCUUCACACGACCAGUGCACAGGGUGCAUUGCGGAGCCCUUUGGCUCAUUUGCACUAGUCAGGGAGAGUCCUAGGUAGAAAAAAGACCAGAGUGGCUUCCCAGAAUAAACUUGCAUUUGGUCUUGUCUGUGUUCACUGAGUAGAUUUGCCUGGUGUGUAAGAAAACCCAGAUGUUUGUUUUGUACAGUUUGUAAUACGGCUCUCAUACCUAAUUGCCCCAGCUUGCUCUGUGUUGCUUUGCCCGGCUUGUGAAAAGAAGGCUUUUAAAGGCCAAAUCAGACUUCUAAUCUCAGAAGAACAAGUUCAAGCUAGGAAAAAGUGCUGCACACAGCCAGUGCACAGGGAGCAUUGGGGAGUGCCUUGACCAUUUCCCCUGGUCAGGUAGAGGCUUAGGUAGUAAAAAAGGACAGGGUGUCUUCCCUGAGAAAACCUGCAUUGAGUCUUGUCUGCAUUCACAGAGUAGAUUUGCUUUGUUUGGAAGAACUCCCAUAUGCUUGUUUUGUGCAGUUUGUUACACUGCUCUCAAGCCUUGAUUGCCCCAUCUGGCUCUGUGCUGCUUUGCCCACCUUGUGAAAAGAAGGUAUUUUCAGGCCAAAUGAGACUUCUCUCAGCUGAACACAUUUGUAGUGGGUUUCAACAAGGGAAACCAGCAGCACACAACCCAUGCACAGGAAGCAAUGGGCAGACCCAUGGCACAUUUGCCCUAUAUCUGGGGGAAUCCAAGGAUGGAUAAGAAAAGGGUGGAUUCCCUGAGCAAAAACACAUUGGGCCUUAUCUUUUUAUAUGGAGUAGAAUUUCUAUUGCAUGAGGAUGCUCCCAGAUACUUGUUUUGUGCAGUUUCUGACACUGGUCUCAAGCUUUGAUCACCCCACUUCAAUCUAUGAUGCUUUGACCAGCUAGUGAAAAGAAGGCAUUUUCAGGCUAAAUAAGAUUUCUCCUCUCAGGAGCAGAGGUAUGGAGUGUGUUUCAAGCAUGGGAAUCAAGGCAUGCACAGGCAGUGCACAAAGAGCAUUUGGCAGCUGCCUUGGCUAUUUUGCCCUAGGUCUGGGAAAAGCCUAUGUGGGAAAAGGGCAGUGGUGUCUUCACAGAGAAAACCUGCAUUAGGGCUUGUCUGUGUUCACUGAGUAGACACUGCUUUGCAUGGAGGAAAUGCCCAGAUUCUGGUUGUUUGCAGUUUGUGACACAGCUCUCAAGGCUUGAUUGCCCUAGCAUGCUUAGUGCUGCUUUGCCCAUCUGAUGAAAAGAAGACAUUUUCAGGCCAAAUCCGACUUCUCCUCUCAGGAGAACAUGUUUGGAGUGUGUUUCAAGCAUGGGAAUCAGGGUGCACACCACCAGUGCCCAGGGAUCUUUGGGCAACCCCUUGGCUCAUUCGCCAUUUUUGUGGGAGGGUCCUAGGUGGGAAAAGGGCAAGGGUGCCAUCCUGGGGCAGUGCCACCCUUUGGCUGGUCUGUGUUCACUGAGUAGACUUUGCUUUGUGUGGAGGAAGCUCCCAUAUGCUUGUUUUGUGCCCUGGGUGACACUGCAUUGAAGCCAGGGUCCCCCUACCUUGCUCUGUGUGGCUUUGCCUGGCUUGUGAAGAGAAGGCAUUUUCCGGCACAAUCAGACGUUUCCUCUCAGGAGGACAGGUUUGCAGUGUGUGUCAAGCAAGGGAAACCAGCUGUGCACACCCAGCACACAGAGAGCAUUGGGCAUCUGCUUGGCUCAUUCGCCCUAGGUCUUGCAGAGGCCUAACUUCCAAAAAGGCAAAGGUGGCUUCCCCGAUAUAAUCAGCAUUGGGUCUUGUUUGCUUUUCUGGAGUAGACUUUCUUUGGCAUGGAGGAAGGUCCCAGAGGCUUGCUUUGUGCACUCGGUGACCCUGGUUUCUAGUGUAGACCCCUCCCAAGGAUGCUCAGUGCUGCUUUGCCCACCAUGGGAAAAGAAGGCAUUUGCAGGCCAAAAGAGACUUCUCCUCUCAGGAGAACACGGUUCAUGUGUGUUUCAAGCAAGGAAACACAGCAGUACACAACCCAAGCACAGGGAGCCUUGGGCAGCUCCUUGGCUCUUUCGCCCUAAUUCUGGGGCAUGCCUAACUAGGAAAAAUGCAAUGCUGUCUUUCCGGAGGAAACCACCAUUGGGUCUUGUCUGCCUUGAUUGAGUAGACUUUCAUUGGCAUGCAGGAAGCUCCCAGAGGCUUGUUUGCCGUGUGUGACGCUGUUCUCAAGCCUAGAUCUCCCCAACUCACUCUCUGCAGCUUUUGCCCAGCUUGUGCAGAGACGUCAUUCUCGAACCAAAUCAGACCUCGCCUCUCAGGAAGAACACAUUUGGAUUGAGUUUCAAGCUACGGAAAGCCCCUGCACAGGACCUGUGCACAGGGAGCUUUGGAAAGUCCCUUGGCACAUUUGCCCUAGGUCUGGGAUAGCCCUAGGUGGGAAAAAGGCAAGGGUGGCCUCCCAGAGAAUGCAGCAUUGGGUACUGUCUGCUCUUAUGGAUUACCCUAUCCUUUGCAUGGAGCAAGUUCCAAGAUGCUUGUUUUUUGCAGUUUGUGACACUGCACUCAAGACUUGAUCCCCCAGCUCUCUGUGUGCUGUUUUGCCCAGCUUGUGAAUACAAGGCAUUGUCAGCCCAAAUCACACUUCUCUUCUCAGGAGAACAGGUUUGGAGUGAGUUUCAAAGAAGGGAAACUAGAUGCACAAAACCAGUGCACAAGGAGCAUUGGCCAGCCCCUUGGUUUACUCACCCUAUAUCUGGGAGAAGCCUAUGGGGGAAAAAUAAAUGGGUGGCUUCCCAGAGAAAACCUGAUUUGGGAUUGGGUGACCUGAUUUGGGUGUUUAUGGUGUAGACUUUUCUUUGCCUGGAUGAAGCACCCAGAUGCUUGUGUAGUGCAGUUUGUGACACUGCUCUCAAGCCUUACUUCCCCUAGCUUGCUCUGUGCUGCCUUGCCUGGCUUGUGGAAAGAAGGCAUUUUCAGGCCAAAUCAGACAUCUCCUCUCAGGAGAACAUGUUUGGAGUGGGUUUCAAACUAGG